rnacentral:rRNA from 1 species
UACGUAAGGGGCUAGCGUUGUCCGGAUUUAUUGGCGUAAAGAGCGUGUAGGCGGCCAGGUAGGUCUGGUGUGAAAACUCGAGGCUUAACCUCGAGAUGUCAUCGGAAACCAUUUGGCUAGAGUCCGGAAGAGGAGAGUGGAAUUCCUGGUGUAGCGGUGAAAUGCGCAGAUAUCAGGAGGAACACCGGUGGCGAAGGCGGGC